rnacentral:rRNA from 1 species
AUGGCGUCUCCUUCCGAUGCCAACUCCACCAGGAACGGCGGCGCCGCCGCCGCGGCUGCGAGAUCGGAUCUAAGUGACUUCUUCGAUCAACUGGAUCUCAACGAUGAAGAAUUUGCUAAUGUAGAGAUCGAUGAGGACGAUCCCGAGAUUCAGGAGUGUGUUCGUUGGCUUGCCCCAGCUAGGGUUCACACAAACAAAAACUUAAGCCCUUCGGCCUUCUACAAGGAGAUGAGGGCCGCGUGGAAUCCGGCGCAAAGUGUUAGAUUUCGGCCUAUCGGCUCUAAUCGUUUUGUUGUCCAAGCAUCCUGCUUGGGGGAUUGGGAACGCAUCAUGUUGCAGGGUCCUUGGUUGUUCCGUAACAUGGCCGUGCUCUUGUGCCCGUAUGAUGGUUUCAGCAAAGCAGAGGAAGUAGAGUUCCAUCAUAUUCCAAUUUGGCUGCAAAUCCACAAGUUGCCGGACCCAUACUGUAAACAUAAUGUUGUGGAGAAGCUAUUGAAAGGCUCAGGAGAGAUAAUGGAGAUGCAUCUGAAUGGGAAUACACGAGGUGAUUAUGUAAGGGUGAGGGUGAAGCAUGAUAUUCGUCAAGCCCUUACAAAAUAUGUCAGUAUUGUUCGUGCUAAGGAACGUCAGGUAUACUUGGUUCGUUAUGAAAAACUCGCCAGGUUUUGCAAGCUAUGUGGACUCAUUGGUCAUGAUCACAAGGAAUGUGGACCGGGGGUUCACGAUGAGAAGUCACUCAAAUUCGGGGAUUGGAUCUAUGCAGAUGCCCCGAGCAAGCCACGUCCAGAUCAACGAGCGACUAAGGCAUCAGGCAAUGAAACCAGCAAAGUGGAGACUCCUAAGGUUGUCAGGACCACUACUGAGCAGGAUCCUGUUGAUCCAGAGGUCACGGAUACCGCUUCUAGCCCGGUUAAAAUACCUGGGGAGAGAAUGGAGGUGGAUAGGAUCCCGAAGAAGAGGUUAAACAUGGACGAGGUUGCGGCUAGUCCUCGGGAUGCCUCUGGCACGUCGAAGCCGGUGCUGGCUAUAACAGAUCGCAGCGGCAGUGAUCUGAAGGAGGGUGACUCGACCACAAACAGUAGUUCAAGCAGCAAAAGGCUGAAAGUAACAAUGGAGAAUGACCAAAAUGAGAUAUCGGCGGCCUCCCAUGAGGAGGACCACCGGACGCAAUGA